rnacentral:tRNA from 1 species
ACUUUUUUAAUAUAACUAGUAUAGGUGACUUCCAAUCACCCAGUCUUGGUUAAACCCCAAGAAAAUGUA